rnacentral:lncRNA from 1 species
AUUUAUCCACAGAGCAAAUGCUUUUCUGCUCCUCGAAGACAGAUCUGGAGAGUUGGAUGCAGGCAUUAUAGGCAAAGCAGCGGAGGAAUUAUUGGAAACUAAUGCCAAGGAAAUAAUGGACCAUUUCCAAAAGGUAAACACUAAAUACUAACAUCCUCUAGCAUUACUUUUUUCAAAGCACUAAAAUACAAUAGUAAAAUGCAUUUUAUCUAUCGCAGAACCCAAAUGGAGAGCUGAACAAUGUUAUGAAAACCAGUAGUGAAAAAGAGUUUCCAUUCUAUAUAAAAGUGACACAAAAAAGCAAAAUCCACCCAAAUACCGCUAUGAAAUCAUCUUCGUCUUUAACUCUCUACCCACCAUCACAAAUGUGAAUUCCUCACCUGCAAUCAUUGAAAUAGAUCCUUCAACUUCUAUAAGUGAUGUGAAGAAUUCAACUGAGAUGAACAAGAGUUCAGACAAGAAAAACACGAAAGGGAAAGAUAAAGUAUGCAACACUGACACUGAAGUUCUCAAUUACACCGAAGAAACGAUUGCAAUCUCUGCAAAGAGGCCUCUCUUCCAAGCACUAGAUGAAACUAUUGAAACAGACUCGAAGCCAAAAAAGAAGAGUAACACAGUGAUAUGAUCCAGGAGUCGAGCCUGACGAAAGCAAGUGCGAGACGAGAUCAAUUGAUAGUCGAUGGCGGAUCGAUGACGUGAUUGAAGACGAGACGAGUCAACGAGGUGAUGGGAUUGCUCGUCAAGGCAACGAUUGAAGGCACCAUGUUCAGGACUCAAAAUGGAGCAACUUUCAUAUUCGGGUCGAAGGUCAAAUCAACUUGAAUCAAUUUAAUAUCGAAGGCCGAAAUCGAAGGGAAAUUUUAAGCCUGUGCGGUCGCAUAGGUAUACACGCUCGCGGUCGCACAAUAUUCUACCGAAGCUCAAAGAAGGCAUUUUGUUUGAACUAUGCGACCGCAAGGAAUUGCAUGUUGCGGUCGCAUAAGCCAAUUUUUGGGUGAAUUUUCUAUUUUUGGUAUUUUUCCAUAUUUUGUUAGUUUUUUAUUCUUUUCCAUACUUUGAGAAUUAUGCUCGACUUUUGCACGAUUUUUACCCAGUUUUUAGGUUUAGUAUAAAUAGAAAUUUUCAUUCAAUUGUAAAGACGACUUUUGACAUAUUUGAUAUUGAAUUAAAGUGAGGCGUAUUGUCUUCUUUUCA